rnacentral:rRNA from 1 species
CGCAGGGCGAGCUUACCAUGCAGUCGAGGGGCAGCGGGGGAUGCGUUCGCGCAUUCUGCCGGCGACCGGCGCACGGGUGAGUAACACGUAUGCAACCUGCCCCGUCCAGGGGGAUAAUCGGCGGAAACGCCGUCUAAUACCGCGUAUAUCGGUACCGGGCAUCCGGGAUUGAAGAAAGGGCCUUAGGGUCCGGGACGGGAUGGGCAUGCGGCGCAUUAGGAAGUUGGCGGUGUAACGGACCACCAAUCCGUCGAUGCGUAGGGGUUCUGAGAGGAAGGCCCCCCACACUGGUACUGAGACACGGACCAGACUCCUACGGGAGGCAGCAGUGAGGAAUAUUGGUCAAUGGGCGGGAGCCUGAACCAGCCAAGUCGCGUGAGGGAAGAAGGUACUGAGUAUUGUAAACCUCUUUUGCCAGGGGACAAAGGCGGCCACGGGUGGCCGUAAGAGGGUACCUGGAGAAAAAGCAUCGGCUAACUCCGUGCCAGCAGCCGCGGUAAUACGGAGGAUGCGAGCGUUAUCCGGAUUUAUUGGGUUUAAAGGGUGCGCAGGCGGCGUGUCAAGUCAGCGGUAAAAUGUCGGGGCUCAACCCCGGCCGGCCGUUGAAACUGGCGUGCUCGAGUUGGAGAGAAGUAUGCGGAAUUCGUGGUGUAGCGGUGAAAUGCAUAGAUAUCACGAAGAACCCCGAUUGCGAAGGCAGCAUACCGGCUCCACACUGACGCUGAGGCACGAAAGCGUGGGUAUCGAACAGGAUUAGAUACCCUGGUAGUCCACGCAGUAAACGAUGAAUGCUAGGUGUCCGGGGCUUUGUGUCCUGGGUGCCACAGCGAAAGCGUUAAGCAUUCCACCUGGGGAGUACGCCGGCAACGGUGAAACUCAAAGGAAUUGACGGGGGCCCGCACAAGCGGAGGAACAUGUGGUUUAAUUCGAUGAUACGCGAGGAACCUUACUCGGGCUCAACGCAGGAGACGGCGGUCGAAAGCUGCUUCACGACUGCUG